CGAGGCUUCAACAUUAUAUCUAUCCCUCCUUGCUCUAGCGGGCAGCAAGAAGCACAGCACCGCCAGUUACCACGCAGACAUCCUGGGGAACUGAGGUGCCAGGGAUUGAACUUGGAUCACCAGGCUUGGAGGCAAGCACCUUUGACAUACUAAGCCACUGCCGUCCAUAAGAACAUUACACAAAGACCUGGAAUCUUCAAAGCCAAGCUGUGUAUGAUACACAGAAGUGGGAAAGAGGCAAAUCAUUUAUUUGUUACUAGGUACUUUUUCUUGUGGGAAGAAAGUUUUUUGUUAAUUCACUCAACAUUUAUUGAGAGAUGCAAGCCAUCAAAGAAAUGGCCCCUCCAGAAACUAGACACUACAGACCAAGGGUGAACGCCUAGCCUGGAUCACCGCAGCUCAGGAAGAGGCUGCAGAAACAGAAAGUGCCCUAGAUCCUUGAAGACUUUACAAUUGUUUAAAAUCACUUAAACUCUCUGGUAAAAGAUAUAGAUACUGACUAAUUAUUACAUAAUUUAUUUUUAUUCAUAACUCUGUAUACUGUUAAUUCUUAAAGUAAUUUCAUUCUUCCUAAUCCAUUAUUAAAAUAUUUUUUUCAUGCCCAUUA
rnacentral:lncRNA from 1 species